GACGAACGCUGGCGGCGUGCUUAACACAUGCAAGUCGAACGGUGAAGCGCCUUCCUUUUUGGUGGGUGUGGAUGGGUGGCGAACGGGUGAGUAACACGUGGGUAACCUGCCCCCUACUUCUGGAUAACCGCAUGAAAGUGUGGCUAAUACGGGAUAUUCUGGGUCUGUCGCAUGAUGGGUCUGGGAAAGAUAUUGUUUCGGUGGGGGAUGGGCUCGCGGCCUAUCUGCUUGUUGGUGGGGUGAUGGCCUACCAAGGCGGUGACGGGUGGCCGGCCUGGGAGGGUGGGCGGUCACACUGGUGCUGAGCCACGGCCCCGCCUCCGACGGGAGGCAGCAGGGGAUAUUAUUGCACGGUCGGCGGAAUGCUGCUGCAGCGACGCCUCUGUGGGGAUGGUGUCCUUCUUGUUGUGAACCUCUUUCGCGAGUGAAGCAGGGUUGCCUCGUUUGUUGGUGGGUUGACGGUAGCUGGAGAAUAAGCGCCGGCUAACUACGUG
rnacentral:rRNA from 1 species